AGGAAAUAUUUUGGCUGAGGCAUCAGAGGUCUGAGCUUAUACAUUCGAUUUAUAGAGAUGGAUUCUUUGGGGGUGGUUCCCUGAGAACCUUGUGUGCUUUUUUAAAGCUGAAGUCAUGCCUAACCCUGUAUUUGGCAGAAUACUCGCAUCCUGUGAAAAAUAACAGAGUUUAUAUGCUAAAAUGGAAGACUGUUACUUUUCCCACUUUGUAUUAUUUUUCUAGUAAAAAUAUUUCCAUUUUAAGUUUUUCUCCUAGGACUGCCCCCUUUUGAGACACUGACUUACUUUUUAGGCUUUUUAGCUAUGUGGCAUUGCCAAAGAGAGCGAAUUUGAUCUGCACAGGGACAUUCAAGGCAUACUCAAGGAAAACUUAGGGUACUUUGUCAUUAAGGACUGGGGAUUUCAAAGGAUCCAGUAGAAUAGAGGUAGAAGAUAGGUGAUAUGAACUGCAUAAAUUCGUAGGUUCUGGACUUCCAAAAUUCAUAGGUUGAAAUUCUAACUCCCAGCGGGAUGGUAUGAGGAGGUGGGGUCUCUGAGAGGUAAUUAGAUCAUAAGGAUGGAGCUCUCCUGAUGGAAUUAGAGCCCUAAUGAGAAGAGACAGGCGAGAGCUUGCUUUCUGUCUGUCUGUCUGUCUCUCUUUCUGCUCUUUGCCAUGUGAGGACACAGGGAGACGAGGACCAUCUAUGAACCAGGAAGAGAAUUUUCACCAGAACCCAGUCAUGCUGACACUCUGGUCUUGGAUUUCCCAGCCUCUGGAACUGUAAGAAAUUAAUUUCUGUUGUUAGCUUAUGGGAUUUCUGUUCUAGCAGCCUGAACCAACUAAGAGAAUGGGGAAACAGGCAUGGAAAGUUCUGGUGGUAUGUCGGUUUGGAUCCCGGGUGCAGACAUGGCACCACUUGGCAAGCCAUGCUGUGGUAGGCGUCCCACAUGUAAAGUGGAAGAAGAUGGGCACGGAUGUUAGCUCAGGGCCAGUCUUCCUCAGCAAAAAGAGGAGGAUUGGCAGCAGAUGUUAGCUCAGGGCUAAUCUUCCUCAAAAAAAAAAAAAAAAGAUCAUUAGCGGUCUGAGGGAGUUGCCUAAUUUUUUUUCACUUACAUUAUUUCAGUUCAUGAGGGAAAUUAUUUAGUAUUGUGGUAUUUGGAAAUUUAAGGAUUUGAGAAGGCCUCUUUAUAGCCCUCAUAAUUGUCAAGAGUAUAAUCUAAUAUUAGCCUCAUUUUAUAAGUGAGGUAACUAGGGCAUAAAAUAGUUAAAGCAAAUAAACCAAGGCACACAAAUAGCAAAGGGGAGCUGAGAUAAAGCUGGGUUUAUCUGAUGCAAAUGCCUUUUCCACAUCAAAAUUUUUAGAUAAAAACCUUAAUUCAUUUGCAUCAGACAGGUUGAGUCAUGUGACAAGCAGGUUGCAUGUGACUUUUCAGACUUUUGAGUCCACUUGCAUCUUUUACUUAGAACAAAUCCCUCUGGUCUAAGGACAGUCUGGGAAAGUCUUCACUUACUCACGAGUGCCUUGUGAUCCUUGACAUAAUAUCAACUUGACUGUUUCAAGUUCAAGUUAAAGAGAAUAACACCCAGUUGUGCCACAGCUGGUUGGUACUGGCUCAUGAGAGCCAAGUUUUAGAUUUGUAAGUCCAUUGUUAAAUACAAGCAUUACUAAAAAUUAAGUUAUUACACUUACAGUUAAAUUAAUUAUGUUUAAAAGAAAGGUAAUUGAUACUCAAAACUCAUCGCUUUGUAAUUACUCUGUGACAUUUUAUUGUAUUGUCUCUGGUCUUGAGGUCAUUUACGUCUCUUCUAUGUUUGCGGUGAAAAUCCUGUGUAAUGGUGUGCUACUGCACAUCUUUGCCCAUACUCUCCAUUUAGUAUCAUCAUUUUGGUCAUUUGAAAUCAGCCAUGGUGGUAGUAUUUACACAAGGAAAAUGGGCAAAUGUGACAAUUAGAGCUUUUUCCCUACCAGAGAGCUAGCUGUUGCACACUAGCACACUUCUAGAUACACCUUUGCAGGUGUCUAACUAUGAUUCUCUUGAUCAUUCCUUUGACAAAAGGAACCUCACCUACACUUAAUCUAAGUACCUCCAAUCUCUGAUCAUAUUGUUUUCACUGGUUGAGAGAUUAGGAUCCAGGGGAGGUUUGGAAGAGCAAACGUCUUGUUCAAAACUAGUUUCUAGGGAAAGGAAAUGAAACGAGGAAAUCUUGGAAAGUUCUCUUAUGUCUGAGACACAGGUUUUCUUGGAAUUUUAGC
ensembl:lncRNA